UACAUAAGGGGUUAGCUUGACAAAG
rnacentral:piRNA from 1 species